AGGAGUGAAUGCUCAGCACCUAACCCUUGUUCCUCCCACCACAAGCAGUUUACUACAGAGAUCCAAACAUCACAGAUUGAGGGAAUGAGAAUACAACUCCUGGGACACAAAGCAUGCCAGGUGCAUACAGGGACAGCAGCAUUUGCUCACAAUGUAGAAUGAAAUUGAUUUAUUUGGGAAAUAAAGGGCAGAAUUAAAUUGGAAAGAAGAAAUAUAUGUAGGGAUACAUGUCAUAGAAAUCCUUGCCAGUAAGGCACACCAGUGCUUUCCUCAGAAGUGCAAACAGAAGGUUUUCUCUUCCCCUUUCAUCAGGAGUCUGCUUUCAAAACUGCAGUGACUACUUUGUUUCCAAACGCUGUCACCCAAUUACUUAUUUUAAAAAAAGAUGACUAAAACUUCUCUAUUCUGCUCACUUGCAUUAUUUCACAAGCAAACUGUUUGGUGGGGUUAUUUUUGUGGGUGGGGGAAAGUGGGUGCAAAUUGAAUCUGAACAUCAUUUGUAAGCACUUCCAAAGAAUACCUGUGCAACAGUUUAAAUAUUGAAAGUUUUACCUGUUACAUAGACACAUACAGGCUUUGGGAUCUUGAAGUUAUGCUUUGCUUAAAAAGUCACAAACUUCUAAUCCAUUAGCAUUUCCCUUAUGAGACCUAAAGCUUCUAUGAGUCUGUGAGGUGUUUAAUUUUUCAUAAACUUAUCUAUGCUCAGUUUUAGCAGAUCUCCCAGAAGUAAUACAAACUGCACUUGGGUUUUUCUCCCCAAGUAUCCACUGUUAAAGAUUUCCAGCUGUAAAACCCUCCCAGCACUGAGGCCACCCACAAGCUCCCACUGCCUGGUUUUGCUGGGACACCCGAAUUCCGAUGGUUGCUCCACUUUGAUCUGCAAGCUGGAGCUUCUGCCUCUCAAUCAGGGAAUGCCAGUCAUGCCAAGUUGUGCAAUGAUUGAUUCACUGGGGAAAAGGGCUCAGUCCAAAACAAGCACACUAACAUCUUCUGAAAAUACCCUUCUCUGUGUUUUUACUUAAUGAAAACAUUAUAUCAAAGAGAAGCCACAAACCAACCGCUUCUGCUGCAUUAUAGGUGAAGUGUUUUCAGGCAGAGUUCCAGUCCCAGCCAGUAAUUCAAAACUCUCAUGUAAAUAAAGCUUAGGGCAAUGUGGGAUAAACAGGCAAGACAACACUUGCAAUCAUGCAGAUACUAUUCCAAGAGACAAUGCCACUACACACUGCAUCCAUGAAUGAAUAUGAGCCAAGUCUGGGAAAACCAAGAGACCAAAAGCAGGAUAGAGGAUAUCUGCUUCAGCCACCAGGGAUUGCAACAACUGGGAAAAGCAACACAACUUGUGUGAUGACAACAUUCUUCUAACUACCAGCAAUCCAAUUUCCCAACACUGAGAGCCACCAUGAAGCUCAGCUUCCUACAGGAGAGAGUACCUAAUUACCAAAUCUUCAUAAAACAAAGAAAAGUUAGCUUGAUACUUCUUUUCAGCAGCAACAAGCCCCAUCUUCUCCUAACAGAAGGAACUGCCUCUGCUGUGCAGGUUAUAAACUCCAGGUUAUAAAGGAAUCACCUUUAUGCUCCUUGAGGAAAGAUUUCAAGGUGUACAAGCCAAACCCUAGACAGCUGCAGCUGCUCCCUCGGGUCCUGUCACUGGUCACCAGUGAGAAGAGAUCAGAACGAAGGAAGAAAACAUCCCUGGGCUUCAUGAGCCAUUCCUCAUCUAAAGGAAAACUCUGCAAAUUCCACCCUGCUUUGGUGACACUAAAAAAAAAAUAAAAUCUGCAUUCAGGGUACCCCAGAAUACUGAAAUUUCUCCUUAACACCCUUACAAUUUCUCAGAUAUUUACAAGGUGGGGAGUGCACCAGGAGAUGGGACAGCAAAGAAAAACAAGCUGGGCUCGUGGGCAGAGUAACAAGGAGAGCUGCUGUGCAGGGAAGGGACACGUCCCAGCGGGGUACAGGUGCUGUGAAAAUCUCCCCAUCCCACCCUGGAGCAGCCCCUGUGGUUCUCUGUCUGCCAGGUUUGGAUUGCUGGGGCUGGAGCCAUUCCCCAGCACGAUGCUCGAGGCUUUGG